UACAGAGGUCCCGAGCGUUGUUCGGAUUCACUGGGCGUAAAGGGUGCGUAGGUGGCCCGAAAAGUUUGAUGUGAAAGCUCAGGGCUUAACCCUGAAAUGGCAUUGAAUACUGUCGGGCUGGAGGUUUGGAGGGGGGACUGGAAUUCUUGGUGUAGCAGUGAAAUGCGUAGAUAUCAAGAGGAACACCAGUGGCGAAGGCGAGUCCCUGGACAACACCUGACACUGAGGCACGAAAGCUAGGGGAGCAAACAGG
rnacentral:rRNA from 1 species